GUGAGACAGGUGCUGCAUGGCUGUCGUCAGCUCGUGUUGUGAAAUGUUGGGUUAAGUCCCGCAACGAGCGCAACCCUUAUCCUUUGUUGCCAGCGGUCCGGCCGGGAACUCAAAGGAGACUGCCAGUGAUAAACUGGAGGAAGGUGGGGAUGACGUCAAGUCAUCAUGGCCCUUACGACCAGGGCUACACACGUGCUACAAUGGCGCAUACAAAGAGAAGCGACCUCGCGAGAGCAAGCGGACCUCAUAAAGUGCGUCGUAGUCCGGAUUGGAGUCUGCAACUCGACUCCAUGAAGUCGGAAUCGCUAGUAAUCGUGGAUCAGAAUGCCACGGUGAAUACGUUCCCGGGCCUUGUACACACCGCCCGUCACACCAUGGGAGUGGGUUGCAAAAGAAGUAGGUAGCUUAACCUUCGGGAGGGCGCUUACCACUUUGUGAUUCAUGACUGGGGUGAAGUCGUAACAAGGUAACCGUAGGGGAACCUGCGGUUGGAUCACCUC
rnacentral:rRNA from 1 species